GGAAAAGAGGCCGAAUGGGUUAAGGCGAUAACCUGCUAAGUUAUGGGACUAAAUAGUCCUUGAGGGUUCAACUCCCUCCUUUUCCG
rfam:Rhizophagus irregularis DAOM 181602 strain DAOM 197198 GLOINscaffold_606_Cont610 mitochondrial, whole genome shotgun sequence.